rnacentral:rRNA from 1 species
AAGGAGGGGUCCUGGCUCCGAGUGCCCGCUGGGCUACCUUCUAACACCUGCAAGUCGAACGGCAGCACUGUAAGGGCUUGCUCUUACCGUUGGGGAGUGGCGGACGGGUGAGGAAUACAUCGGAAUCUACUUUUUCGUGGGGGAUAGCGUAAGGAAACUUACCCUAAUACCGCAUACGAGCUACUGGUGAAAGCCUGGGAUCUUCGGACCUUGCGCGAUUGAAUGAGCCGAUGUCGGAUUACCUAGUUGGCGGGGUAAAGGCCCACCCCGGCGACCAUCCUGACCUGGUCUGAGAGGAUGAUCAGCCACACUGGAACUGACACACCGUCCAGACUCCUACGGGAGGCACCACUGGGGAAUAUUGGACAAUGGGCGCAAGCCUGAUCCAUCCAUACCGCGUGGGUGAAGAAGGCCUUCAGGUUGUAAAGCCCUUUUGUUGGGAAAGAAAUCCCACUGGUUAAUACCCGGUUGGGAUGACCGUGCCCAAACAAUAAGCACCGGCUAACUUCGUGCCCUCAGCCGCGGUAAUACGAAGGGUGCAAGCGUUACUCGGAAUUACUGGGCGUAAAGCGUGCGUAGGUGGUCGUUUAAGUCUGCUGUGAGAGCCCUGGCCUCAACCUGCCAACCGCUUUGGAAACUGGACCACUACACUGCGGUAGAGGGUAUUCGAAUUCCAGGUGUAUCACUGAAAUGCUUANUCAUCAAGAGGAACAUCCCUGGCGAAAGCAGCUACCUGGACCAACACUCACACUGAGGCACGAAACCGUGGCGUACAAGCAGGAUUACAUACU